rnacentral:lncRNA from 1 species
UUUUUAGAUUUAUUUGGAAUUUAAAUUAAAUAUUUGCUAAUCGGGAAAAAUAUGUAAAAGAAGGGAUAAUUGGAAAAAAAAAUCAAAUAAAUUACACAUUUUUUACACGUAAAUAUUCUUGUAUCAGCGCUGAGUAAUUCUAGGCUAGGUAUCUGUUUGGGAAAUAUCAUUAAUUUAUGUUGGCUUUUGUUUACAAUUUGAACCCGUUUGAUGCUUACAUGUUUGGGAAGCAUCGUUAAUUGCCAUUCAUGUUCACAUUAUUACAACAUAAUUUGUUUUUAACAUUUGAGGUUUUAUGGUAUUUGAUGACAAGCAUAUCUGUCACAAAUCUACAUUUGAACACUACAAAGAACAAGUGCCCAUUUCGUUUGUCUAUCGCAUGAAGAACUGCACCAUCUAACUGCACCAUCUAUCUGUCAUAUAUAUAAAUAUGGCACUUGAAUUUUACUGGAAACAGAGUCAUUUUAUUCAGUUUCUAUGAAACAAUUCAUUUUGCUUGUGGUUAUGACAGUUGUUGUGCUUGAUUUUUGUUAGUCUUGGGAAGAAGAGAGAUGCUCAUUGUCCCGGGUUGGGGAAACGGUUAAAAACAGGGGCACCAUGUUGGAGGGGUUCCUGCCCCUGGCUGGCACCCCUCCAAUAUGGGGGCACCAUGUGGCACCCCUGUUUUUAACCCAGUCCCCGACCCGGGACAGGGAGAUUUAUUCUGGGAAGAAAAUCAAGACAAUUAUGUUUUAGAUGUGUUGGAUCAAAGAAAAUGGAAUUUGAAUUACAUAAUGAACACUUGUCAUCAUUAUGAUCACACAGAUGGCAACAUGGACUUAAAAAAGAAAGGUAUGGUGCUAAGUUAUGGUUAAUAAUUUUGAAGCUUUUGAUACUACCUUAAGCUUUUCUGUCAUUCAAUUCUGUCUCGUCCCCUUCCUCUCUCCCUAUAUCAAUUGUAGGUGAUGCAGAUUGUUGAAUGAUGGUGUUAUAUGAAGUUUUUUUUUUUUUUUUUUUUUUUUCUUCCUCUUGUUAGAGAUCACAAUAUUACUUUAGCUAUAUAUUUAUUUUUGACUGGGCCACUGAGGUACAACAAUACAGACUUGUUCUAUGAUCUGAAUGUAAAUGUUCUUUACAACGAUUGCAUGGGGAGUGUCCGCUAGACUUGAAAGAAGCAAUUUCCUGUGUACGUUUUGCUGCCCGAUCUCCCAGAGUUGAUGUAGGUUCAAAUACUGUUUGCUGGCAAAUAAGGAAAAGAAUUUGUUUUUCCCUGCAACUGAGAUUAGGCCGGAAUGAAGUGUAAAUAGUCAGGUUGAAUAAUUUGUCAUCUUAUGGAAAUUUAUUCAGAAUUUGAAACUUUUUAAUUUUAUUUCUCUUAUUUCUUGUGACACUUUUUACACUUAUAGUUGGUGGAGCAUUUAUCCGUUCGAGCUACAACUCUUAAUGUGAAACUGAAGCUGCUCAAGGAAAUUGCUGAAGUGAGGCUAGACAGGAUUCCAGUGCGUUCGGAACUGAAUUGCUGAAGCCACAUGAAGACUUACUGGUAUAGAUUACUUCUCAUCGCCUUACGUCCAUUUAUACCUUCGUGCCUGAUGUGCGUGCCUUUCCUUUCCAGAGAGGUCCGAUACAAUUUAUCAGUGGUUCUAAGUUGCCCUUCAAUAGUGAGAAACUUGAUGAACCACUGUAUUCCCGCACCCAAACAAGAUAAGGAGAAACAAUCUGAUUCUGAUGCGAAUUUUGAAAUACUAGAUUUUCCAGAAGUUACUAAGUCAGUCAGUAGAAGUGUUGCUGAAGAAAUCAGUUAGCAAUGCUAGUAAAUGAAUGUGUUAAACAAGGAACUAAAAGUGUCACAGGGAUUGCAAUAUGCAAGCUAAGUAGAAGACUUCUUCUUGCUGAAAGAAGAAUUACCACUUAAUGGAAAUCACAUUUGGAGAUUAAAAUAGUUGGCUGAAGUUCAGAUUUGUAUUUACUGAAGGACAGCAACCAGAAAUUACCUUCAAGAGCUUUAGCAGAUACAAAGACAUAUUGUGGGGACAGAAUAAGGUAUUAUCAACUUCUAAUACCAGUAAAACUUGCCUGGGUAAAUGUUAGGAAAUUAGAGUUUUGAAUUUUUUAACUUUACAUUAUUUCUACGAUCUAAUAAAUUGUAUCACUUUGUUAAUUUUCAGAUUUAAAUGCAUCUUUUGGUUCGACGGAUGUGUUUUCCAAACAGGUCGCAAGAGUUCAAGAAAUUUUCUUUUGAAGAACUAGAAUGAGAUAUUCUGAUUUAAUUUUGUUUAUUGCACUUUUAAGCAUAUAUUGCUCUUAGUAUUUAAUAUGGACGGAACAUAAUUAUAUUUCUCAAGUGAACAGUUACAUUUGUAUAUUUCUGCAAUACAAUAUUGAUACAUG